rnacentral:rRNA from 1 species
UGGGGAAUAUUGGACAAUGGGCGCAAGCCUGAUCCAGCCAUGCCGCGUGAGUGAUGAAGGCCUUAGGGUUGUAAAGCUCUUUCGCCGACGAAGAUAAUGACGGUAGUCGGAGAAGAAGCCCCGGCUAACUUCGUGCCAGCAGCCGCGGUAAUACGAAGGGGGCUAGCGUUGUUCGGAAUCACUGGGCGUAAAGCGCACGUAGGCGGAUUGUUAAGUCAGGGGUGAAAGCCUGGAGCUCAACUCCAGAACUGCCCUUGAUACUGGCAAUCUCGAGUCCGGAAGAGGUAAGUGGAACUGCGAGUGUAGAGGUGAAAUUCGUAGAUAUUCGCAAGAACACCAGUGGCGAAGGCGGCUUACUGGUCCGGUACUGACGCUGAGGUGCGAAAGCGUGGGGAGCAAAACAGGAUUAGAUACCCUGGUAGUCCACGCCGUAAACGAUGGAGGCUAGCCGUUGGCGAGCAUGCUCGUCAGUGGCGCAGCUAACGCAUUAAGCCUCCCGCCCUGGGGGAGUACGGUCGCAAGAUUAAAAAC